rnacentral:rRNA from 1 species
AUUGAACGCUGGCGGCAUGCCUUACACAUGCAAGUCGAACGGCAGCACGGGGCAACCUGGUGGCGAGUGGCGAACGGGUGAGUAAUGCAUCGGAACGUACCUUUCAGUGGGGGACAACGUAGCGAAAGUUACGCUAAUACCGCAUAUUCUGUGAGCAGGAAAGCAGGGGAUCGCAAGACCUUGCGCUUUCGGAGCGGCCGAUGUCGGAUUAGCGAGUUGGCGGGGUAAAGGCCCACCAAGGCGACGAGCCGUAGCGGGUCUGAGAGGAUGAUCCGCCACACUGGGACUGAGACACGGCCCAGACUCCUACGGGAGGCAGCAGUGGGGAAUUUUGGACAAUGGGGGCAACCCUGAUCCAGCCAUGCCGCGUGAGUGAAGAAGGCCUUCGGGUUGUAAAGCUCUUUCGGCGGGGAAGAAAUGGCACGCUCUAACAUAGCGUGUUGAUGACGGUACCCGCAUAAGAAGCACCGGCUAACUACGUGCCAGCCGCCGCAGUAAAAC